UGUUAAGACUACACAACGUGCAAUAAGACACCAAGCUUCAGUAAUCUCUGCCGGCCUCUUCUGUGAGAUCAAAGUAGUUCACGUUAGUGUGUGUUUGUUCACAAUAAUUAGUAUGUUUCCAUACAGACUUGGGCAAGUAUUCAGAGCAAGGAAUGCCGAGAAUUCUGCUACAGAGAGCUGAAGAAACAUUUCCUGCUGUGACAGAAAGGAUGGUGAGUGUUUUGUGCUUGUGUGCACAGACAAGAAUUUUAUCAUAAUCAGUCAAUUCUCAUAUCUUAGGAAACUAAACUUUUAUGCCAAGCUUGUGUUAGUGUUCAUGAUCCAUCUGGGGAGUUUACAUGGUUCUUCAUAUUGUAACACUUUGAAUUAUUAUGUGGGAGAGGGACCAAUUCAAGGAGAGUGAUAUGGGUAUGUAUGUAUGUAUGUAUUGGGUGGGCCAUAAAGACCGGCCCCCGCAAUGCGACCUUCAAAGAUAAUUGUGCUUCCCCUUGGAUUAGCCCUUUAUUAAUCCUAUACUUUUAAUAAAGUGUAGAACCCUGCUUAUGGGAGAGUCAUAAAAGUCACAAGUGA